GUUCGAUCCUGAGCUCAGAUUGGACGCUGGCGGGAUGCCUUACACAUGCAAGUCGAACGGCAGCACGGACUUCGGUUCUGGUGGCGAGUGGCGAACGGAUGAGUAAUGUAUCGGAACAUGCCGAAUAGCGGGGGAUAACUGCACGCGAAAGCGUAGCUAAUACCGCAUACGCCCUUCGGGGAAGCAGAGGACCUUCGGGCCUCGCACUAUUAGAGCGGCCGAUAUCGGAUUGGCUAGUUGGUGGGGUAACGGCUCGCAAGGCGACGAUCCGUAGCGGCUGGUUUGAGGACGACCAACCAUUUCAGGACAAGACAUGGCCCAGACUCCUACGGGAGGCAGCAGUGAAAUUUUGGACAAUGGGGGAAACCCUGAUCCAGCCAUCCCGCGUGUGCGAUGAAGGCCUUCGGGUUGUAAAAGCACUUUUGGCAGGAAAAGAAACGGCACGGGAUAAUACCCCGUGCAACUGACGAUCUGGCAAUCAACGCAAUAUUAAGCUGGCUACGUGCCGGAAUUGCGGCGAUCGUAAGUGCAGUCGAUGGAUGGGCGUAAAGCGUGCGCAGGCGGUUCGGAAAAGACGAUGGCAAAUCCCAGAGCUUAACAUGAUUUGCAUUUUUAACUGCAGACAGAGUGUGUCAGAGGGAGGUGGAGAUUCCGCCGACAGUGAAAUGCGUAGAUGGAGGAGCGUACACCGAUGGCGAAGGCAGCCUCCUGGGAUAACACUGACGCUCAUGCACGAAAGCGUAGAGUGGUUUCAAAUCCUGGUAGUCCACGCCCUAAACGAUGUCAACUAGCUGUUGUGGGGCCUUCGGGCCUUGUGGCCGCAACUGACGUGAAAGUUAAUGGCGCCUGGGGAUACAGUCGCAAGAUUAAAACUCAAAAGGAAUUGACGGGGACCUUGCGGCGACCGGUGGAUGAUGUGGAUUAAUUCGAUGCAACGCGAAAAACCUUACCUACCCUUGACAUGUCACUGGAUCUCGAAGAGAUUUGGGAGUGCUCGCAAGAGAACCGGAACUACAGGUGCUGCAUGGCUGUCGUCAGCUCGUGUCGUGAGAUGUUGGGUUAAGUCCGCAACGAGCGCAACCCUUGUCGUGGGUGCUGCGAAAGGGCACUCUAAUGAGACUGCCGGUGACAAACCGGAGGAAGGUGAGGAUGACGUCAAGUCCUCAUGGCCCUUAUGGGUAGGGCUUCACACGUCAUACAAUGGUCGAGACAGAGGUCCGCCAACCCGCGAGGGAGCCAAAUCCCAGAAACCCGAUCCCGGAUCAUGAUCUGCAACUCGGACUUCGUGAAUGAUCAGAAUCGGGCGAUCGCGGAUCAAUUGUCGCGGUGAAUACGUUCCCGGGUCUUGUACACCGCCCGUCACACCAUGGAAUCAGGUUUUACCAGAGAUGUGGAUUAGCCUAACUUAAUGGAGGGCGGUCUGCAGUAGGAUUCAUGACUGGGGUGAAGUCGUAACAAAAUUAA
rnacentral:rRNA from 1 species